CUUCAGCAGUGUUCGUGCCAUUUUGUAGCUGAUUUCAGUUCCAUGAAUUUGACGGCACACACCGCUGAUCACGUUCGAAUGAAUUAAAAUGGCAGCCGCCACGUGUUCGGUUUUUUGAAUGGCGGCCACUUCGGCUGCAUCCGAAGUGCAAGUUUAAAAGUACAGAUCCUUUUGCUAGGAGUUAAAGGACCAGCAGCAGCACAAUAAAAAUCCAUUCUGUCCAAAU